AGCUCCAAUAGCGUAUAUUAAAGUUGUUGCGGUUAAAAAGCUCGUAGUUGGAUCUGCGACCUUGCCUCCUGGUGUUCCCGCAGGGUUCUACUAGGCUGGCAGGUCUACCUCGUUGGUUUUCCACUGGUCCUCUUCACUGAGUGCCUUUGGUGACCAGCAAGUUUACUUUGAAAAAAUUAGAGUGCUCAAAGCAGGCGCGUAGCCUGAAUAGUGGUGCAUGGAAUAAUGGAAUAGGACCUCGGUUCUAUUUUGUUGGUUUUCGGAGCGCGAGGUAAUGAUUAAGAGGGACAGACGGGGGCAUUCGUAUUGCUGCGUUAGAGGUGAAAUUCUUGGAUCGCAGCAAGACGGACAACUGCGAAAGCAUUUGCCAAGAAUGUUUUCA
rnacentral:rRNA from 1 species